rnacentral:rRNA from 1 species
GAUGAACGCUGGCGGCGUGCCUAAUACAUGCAAGUCGAGCGAAUGGAUUAAGAGCUUGCUCUUAUGAAGUUAGCGGCGGACGGGUGAGUAACACGUGGGUAACCUGCCCAUAAGACUGGGAUAACUCCGGGAAACCGGGGCUAAUACCGGAUAACAUUUUGAACCGCAUGGUUCGAAAUUGAAAGGCGGCUUCGGCUGUCACUUAUGGAUGGACCCGCGUCGCAUUAGCUAGUUGGUGAGGUAACGGCUCACCAAGGCAACGAUGCGUAGCCGACCUGAGAGGGUGAUCGGCCACACUGGGACUGAGACACGGCCCAGACUCCUACGGGAGGCAGCAGUAGGGAAUCUUCCGCAAUGGACGAAAGUCUGACGGAGCAACGCCGCGUGAGUGGUGAAGGCUUUCGGGUCGUAAAACUCUGUUGUUAGGGAAGAACAAGUUCUAGUUGAAUAAGCUGGCACCUUGACGGUACCUAACCAGAAAGCCACGGCUAGCUACGUGCCAGCAGCCGCCGUAA